UCUUCCGACCGUGGACGACCCUACUCCGAACUUCUUUCGGACUUCGUCAGCAUCCGAGCUUCUCCGACAACAAGAUUUCUACAGUAACCAGACUCCAUCUAAGUUUUUACGGUGGUCGACCGCCUUUCGGAUCCCAACCAAACUCCCACAAGAGCCGAACUUCUACUACGAGUAGUCUACUCUGAAUUCCUACGGCAGGCUGUCUACCCCAGAUAUCUACUGUAAGCAAAUUCCAUUCGAGCCUUUACUGUAAAUAAAUUUCUU
rnacentral:lncRNA from 1 species